rfam:Morus notabilis contig2011, whole genome shotgun sequence.
AUUGCCUCCCGAAUAACCAAAGGGUGGAAUUUUGAUACGACACCAUUUGGUUCAGACAGAGGCAGAUAGCAUCUUGAAGCGGUUUGAGGGUGGGGAACCUUUUUAUGUUCUUUUCCUAGACAGCUUCGUAUAUUU